GCCUUACUGAGGAGUCCCAUACUAGGACGAAACGGUCGUCCAGUGC
rfam:Schistosoma haematobium scaffold868_33, whole genome shotgun sequence.